CAAAGGGGAAAGUGCGACGGAGCAACGCCGCGUGAGAGAAGAAGGUCUUCGGAUCGUAAAAAUCUGUUGUUCCGGAAGAACAAGUAUCGUUGGAAUAGGGCGGUACCUUGACGGUACCUAACCAGAAAGCCCCGGCUAACUACGUGCCAGCAGCCGCGGUAAUACGUAGGUGGCCAGCGUUGUCCGGAAUUUUUGGGCGUAAAGCGGGCGCCGGCGGUCUUUUAAGUUUGAUGUGAAAGCCCACGGCUCAACCGUGGAGGGUCAUUGGAAACUGGAAGACUUGAGUGCAGAAGAGGAGAGUGGAAUUCCACGUGUAGCGGUGAAAUGCGUAGAGAUGUGGAGGAACACCAGUGGCGAAGGCGACUCUCUGGUCUGUAACUGACGCUGAGGCGCGAAAGCGUGGGGAGCAAACAGGAUUAGAUACCCUGGUAGUCCACGCCGUAAACGAUGAGUGCUAAGUGUUAGUGGGUUU
rnacentral:rRNA from 1 species